UACAGAGGGUGCAAGCGUUGUUCGGAAUCACUGGGCGUAAAGAGUUCGUAGGUGGACCUAUUAGUAUGGGGUUAAAGACCGGAGCCUAACUCCGGAAUCGCUCUGUAAACGGUAGGUCUAGAGUACUAGAGAGGAUAGCGGAAUUCCUGGUGUAGAGGUGAAAUUCGUAGAUAUCAGGAGGAACACCAGAGGCGAAGGCGGCUAUCUGGCUAGGCACUGACACUAAAGAACGAAAGCAUGGGUAGCAAAC
rnacentral:rRNA from 1 species